rnacentral:rRNA from 1 species
GACGAACGCUGGCGGCGUGCCUAAUACAUGCAAGUAGAACGAGUGGCGGACGGGUGAGUAAUGUCUGGGAAACUGCCUGAUGGAGGGGGAUAACUACUGGAAACGGUAGCUAAUACCGCAUACCAUCAGAUGUGCCCAGAUGGGAUUGGCUAGUAGGUGGGGUAACGGCUCACCUAGGCGACGAUCCCUAGCUGGUCUGAGAGGAUGACCAGCGACACGGGAACUGAGACACGGUCCAGACUCCUACGGGAGGCAGCAGGGGGGAAUAUGGCACAAUGGGCGCAAGCCGGAUACAGCCAUGCCGCGUGUAUGAAGAAGGCCUUCGGGUUGUAAAGUACUUUCAGCGGGGAGGCGUUACCCGGAGAAGAAGCACCGGCUAACUCCGUGCCAGCAGCCGCGGUAAUAC